UACGGAGGGUGCAAGCGUUAUCCGGAUUCACUGGGUUUAAAGGGUGCGUAGGAGGGCAGGUAAGUCAGUGGUGAAAUCUCCGAGCUUAACUUGGAAACUGCCGUUGAUACUAUCUGCCUUGAACAUUGUGGAGGUGAGCGGAAUAUGUCAUGUAGCGGUGAAAUGCUUAGAUAUGACAUAGAACACCAAUUGCGAAGGCAGCUCGCUACACAUAUAUUGACUCUGAGGCACGAAAGCGUGGGGAUCAAACAGG
rnacentral:rRNA from 1 species